AUUGAACGCUGGCGGAAUGCUUUACACAUGCAAGUCGAACGGUAGAGGGGGCAACCCCUCGAGAGUGGCGAACGGGUGAGUAAUAUAUCGGAACGUGCCCAGUCGUGGGGGAUAACGUAGCGAAAGUUACGCUAAUACCGCAUACGAUCUAAGGAUGAAAGCGGGGGAUAGCAAGACCCCGCGCGACUGGAGCGGCCGAUAUCAGAUUGAGGAGUUGGUGGGGUAAAGGCUCACCAAGCCAACGAUCUGUAGCUGGUCUGAGAGGACGACCAGCGCCACUGGAACUGAGACACGGUCCAGACUCCUACGGGAGGAAGCAGUGGGGAAGUUUGGACAAUGGACGCAAGUCUGAUCCAGCCAUUCCGCGUGCAGGAUGAAGGCCCUCGGGUUGUAAACUGCUUUUGUACGGAACGAAAAGGUCUCUCUUAAUACGGGGGGCUCAUGACGGUACCGUAAGAAUAAGCACCGGCUAACUACGUGCCAGCCGCCGCAGUAA
rnacentral:rRNA from 1 species